CUCGAGUGUCUGAAAGUUUGUUUGUUCACCUGUUGUGGUUAUGCUGUUUGGUUUAACAGGAGACAUCUCUACUUCUGAACCUCAUAACUUGAAGCAAUAGGUGCCUUUUAAAGCUAAUCUUAGCUUUACACACUGGAGUGUGUCUCAGGUUAUAAAUGCAGCAAAAACCAGUGAGUAACAGCAGUGUUGAUUACUAAUUGUUUACUUCUGUUAUUUGCAUUUACUUGUUUUAACUUUGCAUUAACUUGUCUUAGCUGAAUUUCCUGGUGGGAGUUGAAGAGAAGCGGUGGAGUGGACUCCUUAAACUUAUCUGACGUUUCGUAUCGAGUGGAGUACUAGUUGCAGAGUUUUGUUUAACUUCUGCAAGGUUUUCCGCAGAUGGUAGUAAAAUUAAGUUAAUACCUAAGUGCUUUCACCUUGUGUCCCGUUGAUCAAGCAGGAGAGCCUCGGGAAGCUGUUAAGCAUGAAAACUGCAUUUCUGCAUUAUUGAACACUGAGUUAGGAUGCGGGUACAGAGGACAUUAAAUUGGUAAUGUAUGAGAUAUAAAAAAGCUGCUGGAAAUGUCAAUUAUUUAAGAGGAUGACAGAAAGCCAGAACACUGAAUAACUUAAGAUCUGCUUGUAUUAAAAGUGACCAUGUAUAUCUUAACCAAACAUAAUCGAAUGUGAUGUCUUACUUUAUUAUAUAGUCUUCUUACAAACAAACUCAUACUUUCUUGCACAGUCAUAAUAGAAACAAACUUCUUACAGCUAAACUAGCUAGGAGGGAUAGUUGAAGAUGCCUACAGAGAAGUUUUUGAAAAAAUCUUUGGUGUAGUGUGCAGACACAGGAAACUGCUUCUAUUUGAAGCCAUGGAGACGCAUUUGAAUUUCUUUCUAGCUGAGGAAAGCACUUUGUUGUGUAAUAACUAUCCAGUUUUAAAAAUCAAGUGUGAAAUGAGCUCAAAAUUGCAUUAAGCAGACCAUUUCCAUUGCUUGUUUUCUUCAGUCCUUCUGGAAUCACUGGAGUAGACUUUAAUUUUUUUGUUACAUUUGGUGAAAAAAUAUAUUAGCGUUAAUACUUGAGUUCUUAUGCAGUCAUGCGUGCUUUUGUUUCUUGAGGAAAUCAUUACAGCUGAAUGAGAGCGUGGAUUUGAAUAGUGGUGCAUUAUUUGAAUUAGAUACCUUCUGGAAGAUAACCUUGACUUGAGAUAAAGUGACUACCUUCUGAUUAUAUAACCAAGUGAAUGCAUUGACUGGGAAGGUAGAUGUAUUUUGGACGUGAUCUACACAAAUUCUGUAUAAAACUUAAGUGAAAUAGUCUCUCUCUGAGGAAGAAAAGGGGUGGGCUGAAUUCAGGUGGGCUCUAGGCUCUUGAGGCAGUGUGAGUGAAUGGACAGCCAGAUGUAUCAGUUACUGCUGUCUUCUUCCAAAGGAAGAACAAGACUGUAAUCAAAGGGAAGGCUUCAUCUACUAUAUAAAAGAAUUAUCGUGAUAAAUUUUGCUGGCUUUAAUUUCGAAUGAGGAAUUUGUUCAGCUGAGGUUAGCAAUCUCUUUAGGUACUCAGCAACCUUACUUGUACCCCAUCCCACUUCUCUUCACUGUAGAAAUAAGAUUAAGGGAGUAUUGGGACUUCUGUAAGAAAAUUCUUGGUAUUUGUAUAGAUGUGAAAUUGUCACUGAGUUUGUACAUAAAGCAUAUGAAGAGCUUGGUAUGGAGAUUUUCUUGCUUCAGCUUCAAAACUUAGGAUUCACCAAGUUACAAUUAAGUUACAUAGAUGAAUCAAAAUCACUUUUUCAAUUUGAGAGAACUUGUGCUAGAAAUAGUUUUCUAUUAGACAGUUCUUAGGUUGACGUUUAUGUGCACACAUUUAAAAAAAAAAAAAAAAAAAAAAGCAAAGCAGUCUGAAUUAGAACUCCUAUUCCAAUAUUUUUUCCUUUGGCUCAUUUUGAGAGUCAUUCAAGUCUAAUAAUAUGUUGAACUUGACAGACUGUGCAAUUAGAAUUUAAUACCAGUCUUUAUACUAAUAAUGUAUAAACUGGAGUAUUUUUGCUAAGAUUUAAUGUCCUAGCUUGAGCACACAUCACUGCUGCUGAAAGAAGUGGUUUCACCUUUUUUUUUCCCACAUCAUUUUGUUGUUCUGGCACAGGGACUGGAGGUAGGAAUGAGUGUUUGGUGUUUUUGUUGUUUAUUUUUGUUUACAAUGAAAUGGGUAGGAAAAAAACCAGAUUCUUUUGGUAAUGAAUCAUCUGUUCUUACGUCAGUACUGAGUAUAGGCAGGUCUGAGAUAGGAAUGAGCAGCUACAUUCAUUGCAGCAGCAUACGUUGGUUUGGCAGUGUGCUUGUUCUGCAAAAUGAAGUUUUGUUUAAAGAUGAACCUCUUACACUAGGGGAAGCAGAAAUUUCCCUGACAACUUUAAUUUAGUCUAGGUUUGUUAGCCCUUAGCUUAGAUGUUGUUUGCUGUCCCUAACACUACUAUAUCAGGUGAGAAGUAUGUAGUUCUGUUGCAUUUGUAGGAAACAGUUAAGUGCCUGAAAGCAUUGGAUCUGAUUGAUUUAUGUUACUGUAGCUAAGUUGAACCCAAACUCAUCUCAAGUGGCUCAUCUUUCCUAGCUGAGAAAAUGAAUCCAGGCUUUUUACAAAAGUUCAUGGCAGAAGAGUAGGAGACAGCGGUCACAAAUUGAAACAGGGGAUGUUCUGACUGAAUAUAAGCAAAACCAAACCAAAUGAACAAACAAAAAAACCUCACCAACCAUUCCAAGGAUGGAUAAGCAUUGGAGUGGGUUGAUCAGAGACACUGUGGAACCUCCAUCCUUGGAGGUUUUCAAGACCUGAUUGGACAAAGCCCUAAGCAGCCUGGUUUGAGUUUGGUGUUGACCCUGCUUUCUGAGGAGAUUGGACUAGAGACUUGAGCACCUUCUGAACCUCUGUGAUUUUAUGAAUUAAUUAUUGAAAGAGGUGUUAAAACAGGAUUUGCAGUGCUGCUGAAGUGAACACUGCUACCUAGAAGUUAAUGCUAUUGGAUGUGGUUAGAAAUAUCAUUUUUUUGCCUAAUUUUAUAGUGUUUUAAUAUAUCCUGUCAAUUUAGCAAUAGCAUAAACAGAAACACUUCUGUGCAUGUGAUGGCUAGUGCCAAAAUACUCACGAACUCUUAAUGUUUAUCCUAAAAGUUUUGGAGGUGGUGUGGGGGUGCUCUGUUCCCCUGCAAGCUCAGUUCAGGUUUGUGUGGCAACUGUUCAGACUGAUAGAUGCUCCACAGAGCUGCCAACUAAAUUCCUGUAAGAGAUUGUUUUGUUUUUAAUAGUAGGUUGAGGGAAAGAUCUUGUAUACUGUGAAAAGCAAACGGUUGGGGUUAAGAGAAAGCUUAUUUAAUUGGAGAGCAAAUAGAUUUGAUGAUCCCUCCUAAAGGGAGCAACUUGUACUUUGUUUUAGAAGUAGAGAUUACUUGUACUUCUUGUGCAAGUCCUUUAAACCCUGAGGGCUUUGAGGUGAAUCACAAGCUAAAGACUCAGGUUCUGACUAAUGUGCCAUAAGCUUGUGUCAGGCAGUAGGAUAAAAGUUUUUAUUGUUUAGCUUAUAUACAGAAGGUUAACAGUGUGCUUGGGAGAAUAGGUUUCCCAGUUACAUUACUCUUAAGUGCAGGAGUUAACAAAUGUUUUAAAUUGGACGUCAAUAGUAUCAGUCACUGUCAGACAGGCAAUGUGCUAUGGGACCUGUAUGCUUGGUGAUAAACAUCCCAUCAUCUUCUUUACCUCCUCAGGCUGUUUGAUGUCAUUCUCCUGUAAAGGAAUAUUAUGUCCUUUACAUGUCACUCAUUUAGAUGGUUGUAUACUGCAUAAGCAAACUUAUCAGUCUGUGUUGAGCAGAGAUACUGGCAAACGAAUGAAACAUUACGUUUGAGACCAUAGUGUGUCUAAUAGUCAGUGCACGUGUGCAGGGGAUUCCUGGGUAGCUUCAACUGUGUGCUUGGGUAAAAGAUGAACUGAAAUGCUUGUCUUUUAGAAGAUCCUCAGUCUUACUAGAUCAAAGUCAAGUUAUUCCAGUAGGUGAAACUGGGCUAAGGUGCAAUUGUUACUGAAGAAUGAACUUGACACCUUCUGGAAAUUUGUUUGUUGCAGAAAAUGAUAUUGGUAUUAAAGCAGGCACUAAUUGUAGUAUGUUAGAGUUGGGCACACUUGGUACUGGUGUUCAGCCGAAUGCUUUAGCUUUUAGUGCUAACUGAUAUUGAUACUGUUUAGGUGAGACGAUAGAUACAGUGAUAAGCCUAUCUGCUUGUGGUAAUUAAACUUUCUGGAGUACUUCUUGUAAGACAAAACAGUUGAACCUUGCUGUACCAUGCAGGAAGCUUUACAAGCAGAACCGAUUCUAUCUGGGCAAUGAGAAAGACAAUUAUAGUGAAAACUGACAGUGUACACAUCAAAUAAAAGUGAUGCUUGCUUAGAGUUGAAGCACUGGGGUGCUGAAUGUUGAAGUUAUUUAGGAUGAGCUUGCAAUUUAUGUAUUUAUAUAUUUAUUUUACAGAUAGCCUGUAAAAUCUGUUAAUUAUACUGUGAUUGCUGAUGACCCAGGUUUGUAUGUGAAGGAAAGGAUAGGCUUAAAAAUGUUGUGUUAAAAAUGACUUCAUCAUUUCUGCAUCAAUUGAAAUUCUUUAGAGGUGAGCAAUACUGGUUAAUAAAAUCCCUCUAAUUGUUUUUAUCCCUGUCCAAAUCUACAGGUAAAGUGGAAAAGAAAGAGAUUGCCCUUACUGCUGAGGCAGCUGACAAUUUCAUUUGGUCAUUCAUCACUUUACUUUAGUUCAACCUUAAAACCACAAGAAGUUAGGAAUUGACUAAACUGAAUUUUUUGCACAAUUGUAAACAACUUGUAUAUCUAGGUCAUAUUUUGUAUUUUUUAUCACUUAAUAAUUUUAUUGGGGGAAAAAUUUCGGCGAAAAAAUAUAAAGGAUUCAUGAUGAGAAGAACAGAUUAUUUUGAUAAAAGAUUAACAGAAGCUGUGUAACAAUUUGUAUCAAUUUAGGAAGUUGCAGGUAGGCAAACCUAGUUUGGACCAGUUUAAACUUGCAUGUUGUUUUUGUAUCAAAUGCAUCUUUCACUUAAGGUCUUGUGAAUUGAGUACCUUUUUCACUACGAUAUUGGUGCAAUAAGUAUCUUUAGAUCCCUUGCUUUCAAGCAUAACUUCCUAGCAGGUAAACUAGCUAAAUCUUGCUUGACAAAAGCAGUACUAACACAGUUGGUUAUGCAAGUUUAUUCUAGUUUUUAACUAUUAAUUCAUUGUAUGGGAAGAAGGGAUGAAAAUGGAAGAAAUGCUUAAGCAGUUGCUUGCUACUUCAAAAAAUAACCUGAAUAGAAUACCUACAAUUGCUUGUCAGCAUUUGUGAUUUUGAUCAGAUUGUGUGCAGUUUGGGCUUAGAAUAUUAAAAUGACCUUUAAAAAGUCAUGUUAAACAUCUUGGCUGAAAGACAGAGAUCUAGAAUGGUUAAAAUGCAUUUGCCCUUCAUCUUCUUGUAUACUCACCUAUAUCUUAGGUGUCUUUCGAGGGAAACUUCUAACAGCAAAAUAGUUGAUCUAUUACCAUCUUUGACCACAGUGGAACACCACAUUCUGGCAGUCUCAUGUACCGUUGUGGAUUUUCACGGCAUCUUGCCUAGCAAAUUAGAGUGAGACUUGGAUAUAGAAUAUAUCCAAAAAUAUAGCAGAUGCAUUUAAUACUCAUGCGCUGAGUAAAUCCAGAUUAUCAUCUGGAUUCAGAGCUGCCAAAAUGGUUUAGUAAACAGUAUUUUAGAUAGCUAACAAUUUUUUUAGUUUUUUAAUAUAUGACAAGAAAUAUUUAAAUUUUGUUUAGAAAAACUGGACUAUUUUUUCAUAAUAUUACUUUACUAUACUUGCGUAAAAGUGGUAAUUUUUAAAAUGUUGCACAGUGCUGUCAUUGCUGAACAUAAAUCAGUUUUAGCUACUCAUUGACAAAUAAAAUACACUAAGUAUUUUUUAGUGAUUUCAGCUCUAGUUCUUGUAAAGUAAGAGCUGUCAAAUGUUACUCUUUACCUUAAGUCAAUUAAAAUCUUUAUUAGAGAAGAAUGUUUCAGAAAUGGAUUAAAAAUGCAGUCACGGUUCUUUUGACGUCUGCAGUGUGUGACAUGAUGUCACAUGACAUGUUUAUCCUCUUUGGACAGCAGCAGAUGUUGGGUUUAGAAUUGUUGAUUCCUAGGAAGGCAAACUGCUAUCAAGAAAAGCUUGUGAAUAUACCAUUUUCAGAACUUCAGCUACUUUGAGAUUUUGUAGAUAAAGGUAGCUAUCUUAGGAUAUAGAUUUAUGUAUAGAAUUUUAGUGUAGAGAAGCUAAAAUGCUUGGAUCGCAGCUAAAUGCUGUGAUUUUACAAGAACGGAAGAAGAACUCAAAGUUGGUGACACUUGUGAACUGACAGGGAUUCAGAGAUUUCUCAUGUUUUGUGACCCCUUUCGUGCACAGGGUGAAAUAUAAUGCAGCAUAUAUAUAAUAUGCCCAAUAUAGUGUGUGUAUAUAUAUAUAGUUUUUUGAACACCUUGUGGUACUGACAUCCUUAAUACCUGACAGGGUCUCAGGGUCUUUCCUGGCUGAGGAAGAGAAAGAAGCAUGAAGCAGGAGUAGUUCAGAAUGGGUGCUAAUAUUAAUAAUCAAAUAUGUCCAGGGAGAUUUAAUAUGUCCAGUGAGAUUGAAUAGUGCAUGCUUGGUCAACUCAAGCAUGUGGAGCUGGGAUGAAGAUGCUGUCAGGUCCUGCAAGAUUGUUCGUGGGCUUGCGGAAGGAGGGAGUAUUUGAAAACCAUUCCAGUUCAGCUGCUUUUCUCUAGUUUUCUUUAAUGUAAGGUCUUCAUGACUAAAUUUGCCAGGGUCUUAAACAAACAAAAAACCCUUUAAUUACUUCACAGCUCUGUUUUGUAGAAAUGGUGUGAACUCUUAAAGCAUAACUGAGUAGAAGUGUAACAAAAGCCUGCAGUCAUAAAGACGCCAAUCAGAUUUACUCUGGAAGAGCUCUUUGUAGCAGAGCCGAGCGCUUCGUGGGUCCAGGUGGAAAGGACUGCUGCUGCUUUGUUUGCUCUAGUGCAGUCAGAAUUGCAGUGCGAGGAUAAGGCUCACUACCAGGAUUUUUUGGCAGCAGUGCUUGCUUAAACAGUCUCCAUGCUGAUCUCUGUGCUAAACUUGCUAAAGCUUUUGUGUGGCAGUGUGACAAACAAGAUCAAGACUGAUCUGGUCAAAAAAAUCCCCUUUAUUUUUAUUCUCUUUGUGGAUUGUUUACUGGAAUUAGUAUGGCCAGAGCUAUGGCAAACUGGAACUCUUCCUUUUCUACCAGUUUGUCUGAGUUCAUCCAUUAUUGCUAUUAAAACACCAUUGUGUCUGCUUUUCAGCCCUCUUCUGAUGGUAGCUGUUUAUUUGGACAUGAUGUGAAAGCAUUGCAAUGCCUGCGAGCUGGUAGAUCUGAAAAAGACUUGUUACGGCAAUUGGUUUAUAUUAACAUAUAGAUUACAACUUAAUACAUGAACUCAUCUGACUUGUAAAAAUUGAGAAAUGCCUUAGAAAUUCAGGAAUGAGUCCCUACAUGGAAAAUGUUAUAGGAUUUGGUAGAGCUACUGAAGGUAAGGUAUUCAGUCACCUGGGUAUGGUGGUAUUUGGUUUUAAAGAUGUAGUGAAUAUUUUAAUAUCACCACUGCGCCUUCACUGUUAACUAAAACAAAAAUGCCCUGAAGAGUUUGUAGUAGAUAAAGGCUCUUUCUGUGUAAACAGGAAAUUAUUUUUGAAUUAGUUUCAGAGCCUUUUUGUGGAUGGGAGCGAGGGAGGAGAGAAGAGGAAGGCAGUUUCCUCCUUGAUCCCUUCGGUGGUCCACAGAACAAGCCGCUGGAGACAUGAGAUGGUGGUGGAGAAGGUCUUAUGCAUGCUGAAUGUACGAUGCACGUUUGCUGCUGUUACUGCAAAAACAAGUUUCAUUCAAAUUGAAGAACACUGAGGAGGAAGAGAAAGAGUAGUAAUGUGGAGAUGUAGCAUGGGAAUAACCUUCUGAACUAAAGCUUGGUCCUUUGCAGGUAGCCUGUAUGCAGUUCAUCAAUGCCCUUGUUACAUCUCCAGAAGAUCUUGAUUUCAGGAUGCACUUGAGAAAGGAGUUUUUACAUUGUGUGCUGAAAAAAAUAUUGCCUGGGAAACGUUUCAAGAAAUUUGUAAGUGAGCAAAAGUUUCUGGAGUGAGAAGAUUUGGGAAGAAGAUCCGUAAUUCUUGGUCUCUUUCUCUGUCCAGAUACAAAAUAUGCUUCUCUGGCUUUCAAACAGAAUCGGUAUGAGUUCCACUUUUUUCUGGCUAUAUAAAAUUAGCAUCCAGUUGUGUAUGUCUAGUUCCAGGCCAAUUUUCAUUUAAAGCAUAGAGUGUACUCACACUAAUGGCUUUUGAACUAGUGUUGCUUUUUGUGUGAUGUGCCUAGCAGGAAGCUAAACUUGCCUCUUAGGUGUGUUGGAGAAAUUAUUCUGUAUUUCUUAUAAGGAACACUUCCCCCCCGCCCCCACCUCCAAAUACCUUUUUUUUUUUUUUUUUUUUUUUUUUUUACUUCUCGUGUAAGUAUUUCUGAGAAUGCACUAUAGAUGUUUUUAUGCUGUGAUCUAGAUUAACUUCUAACGACAAAAGUUGUAAACAUCCCUCAUUUACACUUCUUUAGCCUUCUUUAGUUGUCUUUCCUUGAUGUCUUGAAAUAUUCUUAUGCAAUGUUUUUUUAAGAAGAACUGACAUUGACAAGACUGAAUCGUCAACUAUGUUUUAUUGAGAGAGCUCAACUCUAUUAUGUUUUGUUUCUUUUACAGCUUAUGCCUGCUAUACUGGCUGAUAUUUUUGCCCUACUUUUUAUCAGCUGUGCAAUAAUAUUUAAAAAAAAAUCAGAAAAUCAGUUACAACUUAUUCUUUUUAAAAUGUGUUUUCUGCUCAGAACGUUAAUAUAUUAUAUUUUGCAAUGAUGUAAUCUUUGAAGGGGGGAAAUUGUUGCUUUAGGAAGAAAUGGAAAAUUAAGAUACGCUAUGCCUUGAAAAAUAGGAUUUGAAAGGUAACGAGAAUGAAGAGCUUGAUAUUCAGUUGAAAGUGUUUGAAAACAAAGAAGACGACUUAAUUGAGCUGUCACAUCGUCUCAGUGAUAUCGAAGCCGAAAUGGAAUAUCCUUUAUAGAAAUGGUGUUCUAAUGUGUUGAUUAGUAGUUUUAUUUAAACCUAAGGUAGCCUUCUCUACAUGCAGCUGAUUGUCACAAUUACAUCUCUUCCUAAGGAUUUUCACAAGCAGAUUUCAUUUCACUUGCUUUUGUUAGAAAUUUAGUUAGAAAAUUAGCGUCUGUAUUGAUAUAGUUCUCUUAAAUGCAAGUCAUUAGGAACUGAGUUAAUUUUUCAUAAAUAUCAAUUAUUAAACUAAAUACUCUGUUGGUUUGUAAUAUGUAAAGAUGUAAAAUUACACUUGAAUUUUAAGUCUCAUUAAAAUGGCAGGUUUGAUAACUAAAUUAGAACAAUUUUUCAAGUGGGUUUUUGAAACAAUUAAAAUAUAUGCCUUCUGUGGGUGUGAAACAGCAGUAAAUUUCAAGUUACAUGAGUCCAGAACUCUUACUUGACAUUGUCUGAAUUUGGAAAAAGUGCUAGGUAGUACUGAAGAAAUGGAGAAAUAUGGGAACCAAUGAAGGGGGUAUAAAAUCAGUAGCAUGUAAGAUUGUUGUUGCAUUAUAGUUGCAGAAGACAAUUUUGGGAAUUGUCUUUAAGAAAUUAAAAUGAUUAACCAGUGUGCUUUUUGCCAAUAGACAGGCUUACUUCAAAAUAAAAAUGAAAACUGUGUGAAAUAUGCUUAUAGGAUUUUAUGAUAAUGAGUAUACAGUGCAAUUUUUCUCAGUAGUUAUGAAACAUGUUUUAAUUGUUCAAUAGGGAACAAAGGUUCUGUGGGUAAUUGUAGUUGGAAAAGGAUAUUUAUUAAUAAGGGUAGUAGUUCAGAAUGUUAAAGGGUUUUAUAUUAAUUAUAUGAAUGCUCAUAUAGGUAACUUUUCUAAUUCUUAUGCAUUUCCCUGACAAUAUUUGCACUGAUAUUAAUAAAGUAUAUCAUCUGUUGUAUAAUAUGCUGAAAGAUGCAUCUUCUGAAAACUGCUUCCCAUUAGUUCUCCAACAUUUUCUUCCCAUCGGGCAUGAUUAUUAUGUCCAGUAGGAAUCAGCUGUCUUUGAUUUUUGGAGUGGGGAGUAGGGGAAGAACAGUAUCUUUAACAGUGUAAAAGUACUGCAUACAAAGUCUUGUUUUGAAAGAUAAUGCUUUGUUGUAAAGAGAUACUAAAAAUGAUUGUGUGAGAUGAAGAAAUUGAGUUAAAUAAAACCUGAGAAAUCGUCAAUGUUUUUGUAACGUUUUUAUAAUUUGAAAGUGUGGAAUAUCACCAGUUUAGCUUUCAUGGUUUUUUACUAUGAGAGCUUUAUGCUAUGUGAAAUUGAGAUGUAGUACCUUGGGCUGGUAAGACCUGAUAAUUUUGGGCACAGAAUCCUGUAGUCUUAGAGAUUCCUGAUGUUGUAGUAUAGAGAUGUAUAUCAAGGAAUUAAAUUAAGUUUUUGAUUUACUAAUUCAGUAAGUAAUUGAAUAAUGGAAUGGAAUUCAGUGUAUUGAGAGUCUGCUAAAUAAUUGCUGGAGUGAACAUUGAUAAUAUUUAAUAAGUUGUGUUUUUUAUUGUCUGGCAAAGUAUGAACUAAAAGUAAAAUAUAAACUAAAAGUAUACCA